GAUGAACGCUAGCGGGAGGCUUAACACAUGCAAGUCGAGGGGUAUUGUAGCAAUACAUUAGACCGGCGCACGGGUGAGUAACGCGUAUGCAACCUGCCGUUAACCGGGGGAUAGCCCGUCGAAAGGCGGAUUAAUACCCCAUAAUAUUGGGAUUCUGCAUGGGAUUUCAAUUAAAGCUGAGGUGGUUAGCGAUGGGCAUGCGUGACAUUAGCUAGUUGGUAGGGUAACGGCCUACCAAGGCUACGAUGUCUAGGGGUUCUGAGAGGAAGGUCCCCCACACUGGUACUGAGACACGGACCAGACUCCUACGGGAGGCAGCAGUGAGGAAUAUUGGUCAAUGGGCGAGAGCUUGAACCAGCCAUCCCGCGUGCAGGAAGACGGCCCUAUGGGUUGUAAACUGCUUUUGCGCAUGAAGAAUGUUACCGACGUGUCGGUAAGUGACGGUAAUGCGUGAAUAAGCAUCGGCUAACUCCGUGCCAGCCGCCGCCGUAA
rnacentral:rRNA from 1 species